rnacentral:lncRNA from 1 species
CUCCUGGUGUGCCAUUUGCUAAGACCGUUGGAAAAGCACAGUAUUUGGGCGGGAGUGUCUUGUUUUUCCAGGUACCGUCUGUCACGGCUUUCCUUGGCUAGGGAAGGGAAAUCCCCUGGCCUCUUGCGCUUCCUGGGUGAGGUGAUGCCCUGCCCUGCUUCAGCUCACCCUUCAUGGGCUGCACCUACUGUCCAACCAGUCCCAGUGAGAUGAACCAGGUUCCUCAGUUGGAAAUGCAGAAAUCACCCAUCUUCUGCGCCGAUCACACUGGGAGCUGCAGACUGGAGAUGUUCCUAUUUGGCCAUCUUGGAAUGGAAUCUCAGCUUCAUGUCUUUUUAAGGUGGAAGGGGAACUGGCAAAAUAAAUAGUUGUGGAUGGAAUAUUAUGCAACUUCAAAAGAAGAUGGGUAAUCUACAUACUGACAGAAUUUCCAAGAUAUGUCGUGAAAUGUAAAAAGCAGAGCAUAGAAUG